AUUAACCACAGGUAACCAUAGAGGUAUACCUAACCUUUAGUUUCCCGUAAACUGCCUGUCGUUAGCCUGGAAGCUGUGUGUAAUUUACAGUCCAGAUCACAGGCCACUGCUGAUACACCAACAGUCUUCAGUGAAAGCAAU